GGGAUUAGAUACCCCACUAUGCUUAGCCUUAAACCUAGAUGUUAAAUUUACAAGCAACAUCCGCCAGGGUACUACAAGCGCUAGCUUAAAACCCAAAGGACUUGACGGUGUCUCAGACCCACCUAGAGGAGCCUGUUCUAGAACCGAUAAUCCCCGUUAAACCUCACCACCCCUUGUUUUCCCCGCCUAUAUACCGCCGUCGCAAGCUUACCCUGUGAAGGUCUCAUAGUAAGCAAAGUGGGUAAAUCCCAAAACGUCAGGUCGAGGUGUAGCUUACGAGGUGGGAAGAAAUGGGCUACAUUUUCUAUACCAGAAUAAUACGAACAGCACUAUGAAAUUGGUGCUCGAAGGUGGAUUUAGUAGUAAAAAAUAAAUAGAGAGUCUUUUUGAACCAGGCUCUGAGACGCGCACACACCGCCC
rnacentral:rRNA from 1 species